CUAGAUAAUACACAUUUACACUAGAAAAUACCUUCUAUCUAUUAUUAAUUAUCCAUUUCAAUAUCAAAAUCAUUACAACAAAAAGAGAGAAGAAGGAGGAGAAGAAAAAGAAUUCAGAUCCAUAAAAGUAUUUCAAUCUAAAACUCAAAUUUGUAACAGAGACCUCGGUUAUGUAAACCUAAUCUAGAUUUCAUCUGUUUCUUCAUAUGUGAUUGUUGAUUAUAUUUUCUUCGUCGUUAAGCAAUUUGUUUGGAUCUGUCAAGAAAGAAGCAACAAGAGUUGUCAUUUAUGGAAUUGUUCAUCCAAAUCUGCCAGGAAAAAAUAGCUAGAGUUGCCAUGAAAUAAGAGGAGAAAGAAAAAGAUUUCAUAAAUCCACGAAAGUAUUACAAUUCAAAACUCAGACCUGUAACAAAGACCUAGAAUCUAUAAAUUCAAGCUAAAUCCCAUCUAUGAUUAUUAAUUAUAUUCUUUUUUUAUUGAAAAAUUUAUCCAGAUCUGUCAUGAAAAAAAAACAAAAGAUGCCAUGAAAUUGUUCGUCUAGAUCUGGCAAGAAAGAAGAAGAAGAAGAAGAAGAAGAAGAAGAAGAAGAAGAAGAAGAAGAAGAAGAAGAAGAAGAAGAAGAAGAAGAAGAAGAAGAAGAAGAAGAUUAUUGCCCAAACAAAGAAGAAGAAGAUUUCAUUUCAUGAAAUUGUUCCAAUAUAAAAUUUAGACCUGUAAUAGAUACCUCAAAUCUAUAAAUUCAAUAUAAAUCCCAUGAUUAUUGAUUCUCUUCGUCAUCAAACAAUUUAUCUAGAUCUGUCAGGAAUGAAGCAACAAGACUCGACAUGAAAUUAUUUGUCCUAACUAUCAGGAAAAAAAAGCAACAAAAUUUAUCAUGAAAUUAUUCAUUUUGUUGAGAUAUUAGCAAAACAAGAAAAGCUAACUAAGAAGUUUGGAGACAAAUAGAAGUAGAAAAAGUUAAAAUAUUAAUAAACUGAAUAUAC
rnacentral:lncRNA from 1 species